rnacentral:sRNA from 1 species
UGCUUUCGCGUACAAUGCCAUGCUCCAUC